rnacentral:rRNA from 1 species
AGUGAACGCUGGCGGUAGGCCUAACACAUGCAAGUCGAACGGCAGCACAGGAGAGCUUGCUCUCUAGGUGGUGAGUGGCGGACGGGUGAGGAAUACAUCGGAAUCUGCCCAGUCGUGGGGGAUAACGUAGGGAAACUUACGCUAAUACCGCAUACGACCUUCGGGUGAAAGAGGGGGAUCGCAAGACCUCUCGCGAUUGGAUGAGCCGAUGUCGGAUUAGCUAGUUAGCGGGGUAAUGGCCCACCAAGGCGACGAUCCGUAGCUGGUCUGAGAGGAUGAUCAGCCACACUGGAACUGAGACACGGUCCAGACUCCUACGGGAGGCAGCAGUGGGGAAUAUUGGACAAUGGGCGCAAGCCUGAUCCAGCCAUACCGCGUGGGUGAAGAAGGCCUUCGGGUUGUAAAGCCCUUUUGUUGGGAAAGAAAUCUUUCAGGCUAAUACCCUGGGAGGAUGACGGUACCCAAAGAAUAAGCACCGGCUAACUUCGUG